rnacentral:rRNA from 1 species
GUGCACCAGGCGCGAAUCCUCCGCAAUGCGCGAAAGCGCGACGGGGCCACCCCGAGUGCCGCCCGCUGAGGGUGGCUUUUCCCCGGUGUAGACAGCCGGGGGAAUAAGGGGAGGGCAAGUCUGGUGUCAGCCGCCGCGGUAAUACCAGCUCCCCGAGUGGUGGGGACGAUUAUUGGGCCUAAAGCGUCCGUAGCCGGCCCAGCAAGUCUCCCGUUAAAUCCAGCGACUACUAUCG